UGACUAACUGAGAAUUAUAUUUACUUGAAUUGAUUGUUUUAUAGAGAGAUAGAAGUUGCCUAUUUAUACAACUAUAUUUGCUUCUUUGAUACGCUACUAACUAACUAACUUCCUUAUAUUUCUGCAAUCUCCAGAUACUAACUACCUUGCUGAUGUGGCACCUAACUGCCUUGCUGAUGUGUAAGCUAAGAUGUAUAUAUCAGUCAACAUCCCCCCUCAAUCUCAACUGGGUCUCCUAGUUUGAGAUUGAAAGAAUGCUUAAGGAAUGAUGGACUAUACAGCCCCUUAGUUAAAAAUAUCAGCAGUUUGAUCUUCAGUUGACAAAUAUUGAACUUGGAGAUCGCCUUUUUGAACUUUCUCCCUUACAAAAUGAUAAUCUGUGUCUAAGUGCUUAAUCCUGGAGUGAAAUACUGGAUUUGAACUUAGAGCAAUGGCAGAUUUGUUGUCACAAUAGAUUACAGGAGAAGAAUGCAAUACUACAGCCAUAUCUUUCAACACACUUCUGAUCCAUGCGAUAUCAUUGUAUGAGCUAAGGCCUUAUAUUCAGCCCAAGGAGAACUUCUGGACACAGAGUCCUAUUUCUUUGAAUGCCAAGAAACUGGAUUGCAACCAAUAUAUACAACAUAUCCAGUGACAGACCUUCUUGUAU
rnacentral:sRNA from 1 species